GCCUAGCAUGCAAUAGUGGUUUCAGUGCUGGACUAUGAUUCGGGAGACAAGGGUUCAAUUCCCGCUUAGGCA